CGUGGGGAACCUGCCCCAUAGUCUGGGAUACCACUUGGAAGCAGGUGCUAAUACCGGAUAAGAAAGCGGAUCGCAUGAUCAGCUUUUAAAAGGCGGCGUAAGCUGUCGCUAUGGGAUGGCCCCGCGGUGCAUUAGCUAGUUGGUAAGGUAAAGGCUUACCAAGGCGAUGAUGCAUAGCCGAGUUGAGAGACUGAUCGGCCACAUUGGGACUGAGACACGGCCCAAACUCCUACGGGAGGCAGCAGUG
rnacentral:rRNA from 1 species